UUUCAUGCCGCGAGUGUUCUUACUCGGCGGUAGAUGUCGCGAUGUCUGCCUUGACCUUGUCGAUCGUGGCUGGGUCAACGCUAUUUUCCGGAUGUUCCGGUUGAGUUGUAGCGUGGGCUUCAGACUUGUGUCGAGCUUCGACGUCCAAUGUGUUUGUGUUGGUAGACGUUUUUAAUUCGUUUUUUCCCGGGGUGCUUUUGGCCGAAGAUUGGUCUAUCUUCAUGCGCUUGCCGUUUACAGCUGCAGAAGUCGCGAU
rnacentral:lncRNA from 1 species